rnacentral:rRNA from 1 species
UACGGAGGGUGCGAGCGUUGUUCGGAAUUACUGGGCGUAAAGCGCGUGUAGGCGGCCUUCUAAGUCUGGUGUGAAAGCCCGGGGCUCACCCCCGGAAGUGCAUUGGAUACUGGGAGGCUGGAGUACCGGAGAGGAGGAUGGAAUUCCUGGUGUAGCGGUGAAAUGCGUAGAUAUCAGGAGGAACACCGGUGGCGAAGGCGGCCCUCUGGACGGAUACUGACGCUGAGACGCGGAAGCGUGGGGAGCAAACAGG